rnacentral:rRNA from 1 species
CCUACGGGGGGCUGCAGUGGGGAAUAUUGGACAAUGGGGGCAACCCUGAUCCAGCCAUGCCGCGUGUGUGAAGAAGGCCCUCGGGUUGUAAAGCACUUUCAGUGAGGAAGAACGCCUGGUGGUUAAUACCCAUCAGGAAAGACAUCACUCACAGAAGAAGCACCGGCUAACUCCGUGCCAGCAGCCGCGGUAAUACGGAGGGUGCGAGCGUUAAUCGGAAUUACUGGGCGUAAAGCGCGCGUAGGUGGCUUGAUAAGCCGGUUGUGAAAGCCCCGGGCUCAACCUGGGAACGGCAUCCGGAACUGUCAAGCUAGAGUGCAGGAGAGGAAGGUAGAAUUCCCGGUGUAGCGGUGAAAUGCGUAGAGAUCGGGAGGAAUACCAGUGGCGAAGGCGGCCUUCUGGACUGACACUGACACUGAGGUGCGAAAGCGUGGGUAGCAAACAGGAUUAGAUACCCGAGUAGUU